rnacentral:rRNA from 1 species
CAGUAGCCGCGGUAAUACGGAGGGUGCAAGCGUUAAUCGGAAUUACUGGGCGUAAAGCGCACGCAGGCGGUCUGACAAGUCAGAUGUGAAAUCCCCGGGCUUAACCUGGGAACUGCAUUUGAAACUGUCAGGCUGGAGUCUUGUAGAGGGGGGUGGAAUUCCAGGUGUAGCGGUGAAAUGCGUAGAGAUCUGGAGGAAUACCGGUGGCGAAGGCGGCCCCCUGGACAAAGACUGACGCUCAGGUGCGAAAGCGUGGGGAGCAAACAGGAUUAGAUACCCCAGUAUCCCUGUCUCUUAUACA